AGUUGCAUAAUAUUUCAGCAGUUUACUAUCGUUGGGUAGUUGUCGUCCUUGAUUGUACAGUUAUUCAUUUAAAAUAUGUAUGUUAUAUACGGAAGGUAAAACUUAAACCCACAUCCAAAGAUUCUGGUUUGACAUCAUAAUUUCAAGGACUGAACAAUUUAAGCUUCUUAGUAUUAUCUUAAAGAGAUACGCAGAUGGCAAUGAAAAUGUAGUUAUCCUUAAUACCUCAUUAAUUUAGAAAUGAUAAUUUUAAUUAUAGAUUAGAUUAGAAAACAAACUAAAAAGAAAAUCGCCUUUAAUCUUUGAUUAAUUGUAAAUUUAAUCCUAUAGAUUUUUAUCACUUGGAAUAGGAGUAUUAAGUCACAAAAUCCUCUCGGAAUAAGGCUGUAGUCAUCUUAGAAACGAACAGACUCUUAAGCAGGUGUACGCUGAGUGGGUCAAGGACCGAUUUUUCUUCCAUAUCCCAGUGAUUGCACUCGCCUCUGACAGGUGGUAUUCCAUUUUGCAUUUUUGAUAUAUGCAUUGUAUGUUAUUUGCGAUGGGCAAACAACAUUCUUCGGACCUUAUUUUAAUCAAGAUAAAAUAGGAAGUCAAGCUGUUUCCAUCUUUACCAUUGUCUUCAGCGGUUGCCUUCUAUUAUUUACUGCUGUCUUAGCUUACGCAGUGAAGAAAGCCAACCGCUACCUGUUCAUCCCUUGGUUGAUCGGAACAGUUUUGGAGGUUUUUUUGAUAAUAGCACUGGGUGUCUGGUUUAUAGCACAAUAUUACAGCAAUAUCUAUUCCAUCUUUACAGCAAUUGUGCUUUGGUGUUUUGAUGGUCUUCACAUAUAUUGUCUCUUAUGUGUGAUAUCACAAUAUCAAGUCCUCCAAGACAGCGAAGAGCCGAGGUUCCAUGAACUGUCCUGGUAGUUCAUGGAACACGGGUUCCAUGAACUACCAAGGAACUGUUUACGUCACAACCCAGAAACUAUCCCCCAACAGGAACCCAGAAGAGAAAACGUAAGAUGCCAAUGCGAGUGGAGAAUUUUCGAAACCACAGUGUAGAUGUAAACAACGCGAAAAUAUGAUAUUUUUUAUUCUUUGUUGGUGUACGUGUAUAUCGUAUGGUUGUUAAACAUAUUCAGGAAUUUUUUUUCGUGCCAAUUUUUACUUUAAAACAUUAGAAAAUAGUCAAUUUAAGUAGUUCAAAAGGUGGAUAAGAGUUCGGAGGAACCUGGACGUUGCUGCUAACGACGAAGAGAAUGCGAAAAAUAAGUAGGAUGUAUAUAUAUAUAUAAUAAGGCUAUUUAUGUUACUAAAUAUAAAUCUCUGGUAGUAAUCAAUCAAGAUGCUGCAGAAUGGCAAAGUUCCAAGAGACUAAUUCGUCUUCAUUUGCGAACCAUCUGACCAACAAAACAAGCCGAAAAGAUCGAUACAUCCACGAAUUACAUUUUCCUUUAUGACAGACAGCUGACUGUCAUUCUUUCCACUUUACCGGAUUUUUAUUUAAAGAAUAAAAAAAGGAAUAACCCCUCCGACAGAUCUGUUGAAUAUAUUUAAUUGAAUCGAAACGAAGCUGCCAUUUUUGUUUGUUUGUUUUUUUCUAUAUUUGAUACAAUUUUAUAAUCUUUCCUUACAUGUCGUUCAUGUGUAUAAGUGUAUAUCUUAUUCGUUGUAUUAAAAAUUUAAACUUAUACAAUUCGUGAAUAAACUUAUAU
rnacentral:misc_RNA from 1 species